GAUGAACGCUGGCGGCGUGCCUAAUACAUGCAAGUCGAGCGAACAGACGAGGAGCUUUCUCCUCUGACGUUAGCCGCGGACGGGUUAGUAACACAUGGACACCCUCCCUAUAAGACUGGGAGAACUACGUUAAACCGGAGCUCAUACCGGCUAAUAUAUUAAACCGCAUGGUUCAAUGGUGAAAGACGGCUUUGCUGUCAAUUAUAGAUGGAUCCGCGCCGCAUUAGAUAGUUGGUAAGGUAACGGCUUACCAAGUCGACGAUGUGUAGCCGACCUGAGAGGAUGAUCAGCCACACUGGAACUGAGACACGGCCCAGACUCCUACGGGAGGCAGCAGUAGGGAAUCUUGCGCAAUGGGCGAAAGCUUGAUGCAGCAACGCCGCGUGAGUGAUGAAGGUCUUCGGGUCGUAAACUGCUGUUAUUAGGAACGAACAACUGUCUAAGUAACCAGGCGCGUCUUGACGGUACCGUAUCAGAAAGCCCCGGCUAACUACGUG
rnacentral:rRNA from 1 species